rnacentral:tRNA from 1 species
AUUUAAAUAGUGUAUAAUUAACACUUAACAUUUUCAUUGUUAAAAUUCCUAAGGAUUUAAAUU